AGAUUGAACGCUGGCGGCAUGCCUUACACAUGCAAGUCGAACGGCAGCACGGGAGCAAUCCUGGUGGCGAGUGGCGAACGGGUGAGUAAUACAUCGGAACGUGCCCAAUCGUGGGGGAUAACGCAGCGAAAGCUGUGCUAAUACCGCAUAAGAUCUACGGAUGAAAGCAGGGGAUCGCAAGACCUUGCGCGAAUGGAGCGGCCGAUGGCAGAUUAGGUAGUUGGUGAGGUAAAGGC
rnacentral:rRNA from 1 species